CGCUCUCCCCGUCAGUCGAGGUGGGGGGGAGGGAGCGGGACCCGGGGGCCGGCCCGGGCUGUCCCGCCUCCCCGUCCCGUUCCCCGCCCUGCCGACAGCGCCGCCUUCCCGGGAGCCGGGCCUGCAGCCGAGGCCGAGCCGAGUGAGGGAGGUGGAUGGCGGGAGGCUCGGACUCGGAGUCCAGGCCGGGCUCCGGGCUCUGAGGCCCGGCUCUGGCUGGCGGGCCUGCCCGGGCCCUGGCACCAUGCUCCGGCAGCUGUUGCACCGGGGCCUCCGGAGCGGCUUCUACCGCCUGGGCUUCCUGAUCGGGAACCACCCGGUGUUGUUCGCCUCAGCCCCCGUGCUCCUGUCCAUCCUGCUGGGGGCGAGUUUCAGUCGGUACCGGCUCCAGGACGAUAUGGAAUAUCUGUUCGCACCGAGACACAGUCUGGCCAAGAUCGAGCGGAGUCUGGUCAACAGCCUCUUCCCCGUCAACCAGUCCAAACAGCGGCUUUACUCUCACCUGCAGAGCCCGGGGCCCUAUGGCCGGAUCCUCAUCACCCGCACCGGCUCCGGGAACCUACUGGAACCGCAACAAACCCGCCUCAUCCUGCAGUUGCACUCAACUGUAACACGGAUUCAGGUGCCAAUGUUGGGCUUCAACUACUCAUUUGCCCACAUGUGUAUUCUAAAGGAUAAUAAGAUGUGCGCCCUGGAUGAUAUUGUGUAUGUGCUGGAGGAACUGAGGGCUGCAUGGACUAUGAACCACACAGGGAUCGUCAUCAAUUACCCAAAUACCUACCUUAAAGAUGGCCAGGAGGUGUUCAUUGGGCACCAGCUCGGAGGUGUUACUCUGCAGAAUAAGAAUCGGGUGAAAUCUGCUCGAGCGAUGCAGAUCACUUAUUUUUUGCAAACCCGCAACUCCUUAAAUGAUUUGGUGGCAGAGAAAUGGGAGUCGACUUUCUGCAAAACCAUUGAGAAUUUCCAAAAAUCUCACAAGGAACUGAAGCUCUAUCCGUUUACAUCUUCAUCACUGAAGGAGGAUUUUCAGAAGAGCAGCCAGGUUUCGGAGUGGUACCUGGUGACCAGCCUGCUAGUGGUUUGGGUACUGGCCAUGCUGUGCUGUUCCAUGCAAGACUGUGUACGCAGCAAGCCCUGGCUUGGACUCCUGGGCUUAGUGACAAUGGCUCUGGCCACCCUCACAUCAGCAGGGAUCAUCAAUUUGAUGGGAGGGAAGUACAACUCUACCUUCCUGGGAAUUCCCUUCAUUAUUUUAGGGCAUGGACUCUAUGGCAUGUUUGAAAUGCUUUCAUCGUGGAGGGAGACUGUGGAGGAUCAGCAUGUGAAAGAGAGGAUUGCCAAUGUGUAUGCUGACACCAUGCUGCCCAUUACAUUCACCACUGCUAUGUACAUGGUGACAUUUGGCAUUGGUGCCAGUCCCUUCACCAACAUAGAAGCAGUGAAGGAGUUCUGUGUUAACACGUGCAUAUCUGUGCUUUUCAACUACCUCUACCUGAUGGCAUUCUAUGGCUCCAAUCUGGUCUUCACUGGUUACUUGGAAAAUAAUUACCAGCACAGUCUCUUUUGCAGAAAAGUGCCCAAACCAGAUGAUCUACAAGCUAAACCCGCCUGGUACAGGUUUAUCAUGAUGUCCAAAUUUAGUGAGGAGGCAGCAGGUCCCAGUGACACAAAUCCCUAUGAAAGUCAAUUCCUGCUUUGGUUUCUCAAGCAGUAUUAUUGCGAUUGGAUUACAAACACUUAUGUCAAGCCUUUUGUAGUUCUGUUUUAUCUCGUUUAUAUCUCCUUUGCCUUAAUGGGCUACCUGCAGAUCAGUGAAGGCUUGGACCUCAGUAACGUGGUGGCGACUGAGUCUCGUACUGUCUCAUACAGCACCGUGCAGCAGAGAUACUUCAGCAGCUAUAGUCCUGUCAUUGGCUUUUAUAUUUACGAACCGAUAGAGUAUUGGAAUGCCAGCGUUCAGGAGGAUUUGUUGGAAAUCACUGGGGGCUUUGUCAGAAUAUCUUGGUUCGAAACAUAUUUGAAUUACCUUAAAAAAUUGAAUGUUACCACUCCAGUGUCCAGAAACUACUUCCUAGAAACUCUACGGAAUUCCUUCCUAAAGACUCCCCAGUAUUCCCAAUUCUCAGAUGAUAUCAUACUGGUGAGGAAAACCAACGAUGAGCUAGAGGUGGUCGCCUCACGCAUGUACCUGGUGGCCAAGACGGCAGAGAACACCAGAGAAGAGAUUUAUGAUCUGUUGGAGACCCUGAGGAAACUGUCCCUGACCUACAAAGUGAAGUUUAUGAUUUUCAACCCGUCCUUUAUUUAUAUGGAUCGGUAUGCUUCAUCAGUGGGAGCGCCUUUGCAGAACUCGUGUAUCAGUGCACUGUUUGUUCUCUUCUUCUCUGGCUUCCUGGUGGUGAACUCUCUGCUGAAUGUCUGGCUCAUUCUCACUGUGGCCUCAGUGGAGUUUGGAGUUAUUGGCUUCAUGACCCUGUGGGAUGUUGAACUGGACUGUAUCUCUGUCCUCUGCUUAAUUUAUGGGAUAAACUAUACCAUCGACAACUGUGCACCAUUCAUAUCUACGUUUGUCCUGGGCAAAGACCUGACAAGGACGAAGUGGGUUAAAAAUGCUUUGGAACUGCAUGGAGUGGCUAUUUUGCAGAGCAACUUUUGUUACAUGGUCGGUAUAAUCCCCCUUAGUUCGGUGCCUUCAAACCUGAUCUGCACACUCUUCAGGUGUCUGUUUCUAAUUGCGCUUUUCACCUUCCUCCACUGCUUUGCCAUUCUACCUGUGAUCCUGACCUUUGUGCCACCUUCCAAAAAGCGGGCAGAAAGGAAAAGCCCCGACAGCAACAACGAGAUUGAGUGCAUGGAGAUGGUGGACCUGGAUGGCACCCGGGUGGUUGACCACAUCACCUCGGUCUGAUAGGCACAGUACAGCCAGGCGACAUGAAGACCGACACAGAGAGAGAGGGUGAACAUAUGAAAUUGUGGGAGGGAUGGGAGAAAAUGGGCCGAUGGAAUACCACUUUGUGGGUGAAGGUGCGGGAGAUAGGGGACGAGAGUGUGCAAAAUUACAGCAAGAAGUAAAGUUGACACCUCCUGGUGUUUUUACCCAGCGCUAAGAGCACAGAAACAUCCCAACAAGCCUAUGUUGGUGUUUAUCCUCCACAUGAACUGUUUCCUACCCUCGCAUCAUCUCACCCUAUCAACAUAUCCUUCCAUUCCUUUCCCCCUCAAAUGCAAUCAAAUAUCCAACCAAAACUUGCAUAGGAAGAUCAUUGAACGAUACAGAGCAAAAGGAGACUAUUCGGCCCAUCGUGACUGUGCUGCCUUUUUGAAAGAGCUAUUCAAUUAGUGCCACUCCCCUGCCCUUUCCCUAUGAUUCAAACGAUAUCUUUACAAUCAUUUAUCUAUUUCCCUUUUGCUGCUUCCACCACCUUUUCAGGCAGAACAUUCCACAUCAUGGUAACUCGCUGAGUAAAACAAUUUCCUCUCUUGUUCAUUUGCCCCAUUAUCUUAAAUCAGUGUCUGCUGGUUACUGGCCCUCCUGACACUGGAAAUUGUAUCUCCUUAUUUACUCGAUCAAAUUCAAGAUAAAGUAUGAAGUGCAAAGAACAAACCCAUAAUUUUACAUAUUCCAACCUAAGGCUUGUCAAUGAAGCUUCUGCUGAAAGACUCCCCCCCACCCCUCCAUCUACCCAGCGACCUAGUAUCAGGCUGUGGUUGCUCCUGAAAUCUGGCUCAGGUCCCUUCAGCUGACAGAGACUGGAUGGACUAUGAAACGAACGGGACAAUUGCUGUUUCGCUAAGCACUCAGGGCUCCAAGCAAAGUGAUUGGAUAGAAUCUCAGCCUGACAAUUUACCAGCAACACACAAGAUGAUUCCCCCAUGAGGUGUCAUCGCAGGAGGCAGACAUUUAAACUUCAAACAUCUUAUCCAGCAAAUUCGAUCAUUCACUAAAUGUAACUUACCUCAUUAUCCUGCACAUGACUACAAGCACAUAUUGAGGAGCAAGGGAUAUUGUCCUACAUUUGAGUUAGUUAACAGAUUGAGGAGGAAUAAUGAGAAAGUUUUCAGUCCCGAUAUACAGAUUCUCAAUUUGGCACAACUCUCAUUAAGAUACUUUUUUUAGUUAAACUGACUUUUCAUUGGGUGAGGAAUCCUCCUGUGAGUCAUUGCAAAUUGUGUUUAUUUGGCACCUUUCAUGAGCAAAGCACGGCUUGUGAUCACUGAUCAAUGUUACACACUUGCCUCCUAAACAACCUGCUGGAACUUUUUACUAGAGAGUAAAAUUGAAUGAUGUACAACAAAAUGCUUUACAGGAUGACUGUUGUGCAUUAAAGGAUUGUCCAUAUAAACAGGCCAAUGAUGCAGUUGCUAUCCUAGCUGCAUGAAUACAAUGAAGGCAUGAGACACUACUGAAAAUGGCUAUUUGUAAACUGAGCCAGUACUACAGGGUAGGCUGUCCAAAAGCAGCCAGCACAUACUAAAUACUGGGUAAUUUAGUAGGUUUGUUUCCUACUUGUUCAUAUAUUUAUGCAGAAAAUGAGAGUUGAUGUGUGGACACUUAAUGCUCUUUGUAUAAAGGUACAAAAAUGUUCCAUUUUUUUCAUAAGAAUUUGAUUUUAGUUUAGACGUGUGAAAGAAUGACUAACACAACACAUGCUGGAAUUAAGGAAAUGCUGCAAAAUGAUAGCUCUUGAUGAGGUAAUUGUGAUAAAACUUAAUUUGUUAUUUAAGGAGGUAGUACUUUUUCCUUGUUAUCUAUACUUAUAGGUAGUGUUAAUAAGUUAAUCCUCCAGCUGCUGGCAACUUGCCACGUUUUGCUAAUCCAGGUAACUGCCUAUUCCCUCAUCCCAUAUGCUCUGACUUUAGCCAUGAGCCAUGCAGUACUUUAUCAAAGGCCUUUUGGAAAUCCAAAUACAUUACAUCUACUAUAUCACCCUUAUCUACUCUUUCUGUUACUGCUUCAGAGAAUUCAAUAAGGUUAUUCAAACAUCAAUUUCCCUUUCAAAAACUCUGCUGUUAUUUUUCAGUUUUUAAAUGUUUUCCUAUUGCAUCUUUGAAUGGAGGAUUCCUUUAUCUUUCUUAUCAAUGACAUUAAGCUAAUUAGUCCAUGUACUUCUCUGGCUUGUUCUAUCUGCCUUUAAAAGAUAGGAACUGCAUCAGUUGUCCACCACUCCUUUGGCUACUAUUCCCUAUUCUAAUGAGUUUUUAGAUAUCUAUAAUAGUGUGUCUAUUGUCUCUUCCCUCGUUUUGUGUAAUAUGUGCAGAGGCAAUCUAUCCAAUCCGGGGGUUUUAUGCUCUCUAAGUUUCACUAGUGUAUCGGUUAUCUCCCCCUCCCCACUCACUAUAUUAAAUGUUUUUAUAUCUUUUUUUCAUUUCUCAAGUCAUGUCCACCAUGUUAGUCUCCCUAGUAAAUACAGGGUAAUUACAGGUAACCAUUUCAUGUUGUUACUCAGACGCAGUAGCAACACAGUGGUAUUCUCCACUAACAGGAUGCUGCCGUCAAGCCAAAAAGACAUUCUGCCUCUCACACAAAUGUGUAAUGUGGCAUAUGAAUUUCAGUGCAGUUGUGAUGCCAGGUACGUAGGCUGUAUGUCCCAAUGACUGGUGGAUUGCAUCAAGCAGCAAGUACCUUUGGCUGUUCACAACAGGCCAUACUCAACCAGCCUAUGCUUGCAAAACUCAAAACAGUGUUCGACAUUAGGUGUGAUUCAGCAAUUGGACAGCACUUGCUAAACAAUCCUGACUGUGCUGGGAAUCACACUGAAAAUCAAUUUAAGAUUAUUAGUUGAGCUUGCAGUGUGGCUCACUUACACAUGCUAGAAGCUACAUAUAUUCACAAACAUGGCUCUGUCCUUUGCAGACAGAAGGAUCAUAUCCACACAUUGCACCUUUUUCAAUGAAACAAAACCUUGAGGACAGCCACUCCCUGGUUCAUUCCCCAUAGCAAUGCCUUGACCAAUCGGAGUCACCCUGCCUGGUUUGAGUUUGAACAGAAGCCUGGCAGUUAACUGUUCACUGCUGCAUUCUCCAUGCUAAUGCCUCUACCAAUUAGAGUGCACUUGGCGACCAACUCUCUUCUCAUGCAGUAUAAAUUGUUGUUCUCUUUACUGUUGAUUAUCUUGCGAUCUGUCAUGAUGAGUGCAAGACAAAAAGCUUAGACAACAUGUCUCUUUUUUCAGCAUUAGAGUCAUAGAGGUCUACAG